GCCUGCGCCAUCGAGUCCACUGCCGUCAUGGUCACCGGUUGGUUUCAGCUGGUGGUGCUGCAAUCGGCACCAUUUUCAAACUUUCGCCUUUUUAUCCGUGCAAUACUUGGUGUUUUUUUUUUUUAACAAACACAAAAAAAAACUGGAAUUACAGUUGUACUUGUCAACAGUUGAAAUUCGACAACUCGUCGCAGUCAAAGUUCAAAGCCAUUUGGAAACGUCAGUCUGCGGCGAGAAAUAAACAGGUGGAUAUCAAAAAAAAGGGCGUCAUGCCGUCAGUAUUGAGAAUAAAACCCCAGAAAACAGACGUUUCUUCCAUAUUAUUUAUGUUGAUCACACCCUGCCACUCUACAGUAUAAGGAAACAAUUGCUCAGAGACAUCUACCAUUUCUGGAAAUUAAUAAAAUCCAAAGGAAAGCUGAGCAAUUUUGAGGAGCUGGAGUCUCUGGCAGAGGAGAUGUCUUGCCGUUGAAGGGAGCGUCAGCCAAGGAGGCUUUGGGUGUGUUGAGCCCCAGCGUGAGCUCCCUGGCUGCUGGGGACGGAAGCCAAGUCUCGGUUCGGCUGGAGCCUUACAUAGCUGCGGAUUGGAAGGAUACUGGACCAGAAGAGGAGGGAGCUGCAUUUGCUGGUGGGGCAACUCACCUCUCCCCUCUGACCAUGCACUAGUAAUACUCUAUGAUUUUUUUUUUCUAGAACUGAGGAAUACAACCUAUGGUGUUUUCAUACAAGCUUAAAGUCUAAUAAAAUGUUGUGUUCCAAACUAUCAAAAAUUAGUGAAUUUCAUAGUAUAAUGCUAAAAGUCCAUCAGAGGCGGAUUCCACUUUUGUAAUGGUUCGCCAUUAAGAUUAUAUGGUUGCUUUUGCCUCCAAUGAAGCUAUAGAGACUAUCUACAAAUUGAGACGCAACUGAUGGACCUGAGGAAUCCAAAUAGCUGGUACCCAGAUGCAGUAAUGUAUUAAGGCCGGCUAUUGAAGAUCAGAACUUCCAGGUCAUCAUACAGGAGCCUACUAUUACCGAACAGCAGCUGAUCUGAUAAACGUUUACCAUGGAGUCACCUCAGGCACAAAUCCUUGGCAAAAAUAUCUAUUAAAACUAGAAGGUGUGCUAAUAAUUCUAAAUUGAUCAACGGCAGAUUUAAACAGUUUUACAGGGAUUUACUUAAUACAGGAUAUGAAAUUGCAUCUGAUGAUGAGACCAUGUUUUUUUCCCUUUCACUUGACUGUAUUUCUUAUUCAUUUGUCCUCUAAUAUUUUUAUUUGAACUUUGUUUUACUGAGUAAUUUGCUACGUUUCCCAAUCUACAAGUGAGGCACAGCAGUAUCAUAAAAAAGGGAGGCAAAAGGUUUAGAGAAAUUCAAAGUAAAGCUGAAACUUGUAAGAUCACCUAAACUAUGUUUAAAAAUAUAAAAUGUAGAAAUUUAAAUGAAAACCUUUAUUUUUAUGUGUGACUUUCCCCUUUAUACACCACUCACACGAAAAAUGGCUGUUUAGAAAAAGUACAAAUUGAUAUUACUAGAAGAUGUGAUGGCACUUGGUCUACCUUGGAGUAGUUGUUUCAUCUGAAAAGAUGCAGCCUUUUUCAGAUGUUUUCUCAGUCAUUUAGCGGGACAGCAAUUCAUCUCAGAAUCGAGCUGGUGGAAUCUGCACUUGUAAUUACUGUAUACACAGAAACAAAUUACUGUAUAUACAAAUGGAGUGGUAUGAGGUUUCUCUGUGUUUCAGCUUUUUGUCUUGUACUUGUGCUGAAUUUCUUUGAGUUUUAUAUCAGUAGAUAAGAGCACACUGUGUAUUCAUGUCUAAUGGCAUUUAAUGAAUAAAAGAAGGGAACUGAAGCCUUAAAGCACUCAGAUCAGGUGUUUUAAGGCCAAUUCUGACACCAAUUCAGGUCCCCCCCCCAUUCCUUUGAGAAAUGUUUUAUACUAAGCUCCUGUAUAACCAGAUGCAUAGAAGCCUUACGUUCUAUAUUAAAAUGUUACCUUUAGAAUUUUUUUAAUUAAAACUAUAGAUGUGUUAACUUUAUUUCGUUUUUAUGAACAAAAUGAAAUUCUGUAGGCUUAUUGUUCAGUGGCCAUAAAAAUGCUAAACAUUUCCUUAAAAUACAGUA